ACCACCCUACCAAGUGCGAUAAUUCGGCUUAUAUUAACCCAACACGUACUUUAAGGGAGCCAGUGCUCUGUUGGUGGAAUGCAGACCUCUCAACUUCGGUUGAAUGGCGGGAGCAAGAAAUUAAUGGGCGGGCACCCACCUGCUUUAUGCAGGUUAGUAUUAGUCGUUUCCGGCUUGGUGGGGCUUUG
rnacentral:other from 1 species